GAUGAGGAACGUAGCGAAAUGCGAUAAGUAGUGUGAAUUGCAGAAUUCAGUGAAUCAUCGAAUCUUUGAACGCACAUUGCGCCCCUCGGUAUUCCGUGGGGCAUGCCUGUUCGAGCGUCAUUUAACCCCUCAAGCCUAGCUUGGUAUUGGGUGCUUGUCCCGCCUCUCGCGCGGCGACUCACCUCAAAGUCAUUGGCAGCCCGCAUCUCGCCGGCCGUGAGCGCAGCACAGACGCGCUCUUGGCAACGACGGAUCGGCUCUCCAAAAGCUUAUUUCAACCACUGACCUCGGAUCAGGUAGGGAUACCCGCUGAACUUAAGCAUAUCAAUAAGCGGAGGA
rnacentral:misc_RNA from 1 species